rnacentral:lncRNA from 1 species
CUCCUGCUUCAGCUUCCCGGAAUGCUGAGGUUACAGGUGUCGGGGAUUUUGUCUCAGCAAGGAGAGAAGAGUAACAGGCAUUUCCCUGCAGGUGGCCACCCAUCUGUCAGCCCCUCUCCUGGGACAGAAGAUGCCCCUGCCUGUCUGCUUCUCACGGUCUAGUUGGAAACAACAUCCAAGCUGUGUACCGAGUCUUUAACACUGAACACUAUCCUCAAGGCGCAUCUCAGCUGGUAGAGUACUCUGCCAUAAAGACGGAUGAGCUUGAUCAGUGGCAUCGCACCUGCCUUGCAAGCACAAGAUCCCAAGUUCGAUCCCCAGUACCAAAAAAAAAAGAAAAAGUCUGAGCUUGAGACAUUUAUAGCUAAAUGGCAAUAAACUGGACACACAUUUAAAUACUGCAUUGUUUCUCUGGUGUGAUAAACCGAAAGAAAUAAGGACUAAAAUCUACAAUAGACACUGGGAAAUAGGAAGAAAAUGUUCAAAUGAGAAGGAACAAAGGAGGGGGGAGGGGCAAAGGAAGAAGGGACAAGAAAAAAAAUCAAAGGAAAAAAUAGAAACAGCUUUUGUACAUAAGCGGUGGGGGAACAACAAAGACGAAGCAAGAUAUAGCAUGUACAAAUUCCCUAUGAUGAAUGUGAUCAUAAUGUAUAUCUAAAAUGUACCAAUAAAUGCUUUUCUAAAAAAAAAUGAGGAUCUAAGGGCAUCAGUUCCUUAGUUUGCAAAAAAUGCUGGGC